GACGAACGCUGGCGGCGUGCCUAAUACAUGCAAGUCGAACGCACAGUUUAUACCCUAGCUUGCUACACCAUAGACUGUGAGUUGCGAACGGGUGAGUAACGCGUAGGUAACCUGCCUGGUAGCGGGUGAUAACUAUUGGAAACGAUAGCUAAUACCGCAUAAUAUUAAUUAUUCCAUGAUAAUUAAUUGAAAGGUGCAAUUUCACCACUACAUGAUGGCCCUGCGGUGUAUUAGCUAGUAGGGGAGGUAACGGCUCACCUAGGCGAAGAUACAUAGCCGACCUGGGGAGGGGGUCGGCCACACUGGGAAUGAGAACACGCCCAGACUCCUACGGGAGGCAGCAGGAGGGAAUCUUUCGGAAUGGGGGGAAGUCUGAACGAGCAACGCCGCGGGAGUGAAGAAGGUUCUCGGAUCGGUAAGAUCCGUUUUAAGGGAAGAAAGGGAGUGGGAGUGGAAAGUGCACAUUGUGACGGUAUCUUACCAGAAAGGGACGGCUAACUACGUG
rnacentral:rRNA from 1 species